CAAAUCAGGUAGGACUACCCGCUGAACUUAAGCAUAUCAAUAAGCGGAGGAAAAGAAACUAACAAGGAUUCCCCUAGUAACUGCGAGUGAAGCGGGAAAAGCUCAAAUUUAAAAUCUGGCGGUCUUUGGCCGUCCGAGUUGUAGUCUGGAGAAGCGUCUUCCGCGUUGGACCGUGUACAAGUCUCUUGGAACAGAGCGUCAUAGAGGGUGAGAAUCCCGUCUUUGACACGGACUACCAAUGCUUUGUGAUGCGCUCUCAAAGAGUCGCGUUGUUUGGGAAUGCAGCGCAAAAUGGGAGGUGAAUUCCUUCCAAAGCUAAAUAUUGGCGAGAGACCGAUAGCGAACAAGUACCGUGAGGGAAAGAUGAAAAGCACUUUGGAAAGAGAGUUAAACAGUACGUGAAAUUGCUAAAAGGGAAACGCUUGAAGUCAGUCGCGUCGUCCGGAACUCAGCUUUGCUUCGGCUUAGUGCACUUUCCGGUUGACGGGCCAGCAUCGAUUUUGACCGCUGGAAAAGGGCUGGAGGAAUGUGGCACCUUCGGGUGUGUUAUAGCCUUCAGUCGCAUACAGCGGUUGGGAUCGAGGAACGCAGCGCGCCUUAUGGCUGGGGUUCGCCCACAUUCGCGCUUAGGAUGCUGGCAUAAUGGCUUUAAACGACCCGUCUUGAAACACGGACCAAGGAGUCUAACAUGCCUGCGAGUGUUUGGGUGGAAAACCCGAGCGCGUAAUGAAAGUGAAAGUUGAGACCUCUGUCGUGGAGGGCAUCGACGCCCGGACCUGAC
rnacentral:rRNA from 1 species